UAAUCGCAGGCCAGCAUACUGCGGUGAAUACGUUCCCGGGUCUUGUACACACCGCCCGUCACACCAUGGGAGCCGGAAAUGCCCGAAGCCAGUGACCCAACCUUAGGGAGGGAGCUGUCGAAGGUGGAGCCGGUAACUGGGGUGAAGUCGUAACAAGGUACC
rnacentral:rRNA from 1 species